rnacentral:misc_RNA from 1 species
ACAAAACAAGGACAAUAAUGCAACUAAUUGCCAUCAGAAACUGCUCAAAGAAACAAACAAAAAAAUAAAGGGCUCCAAGAGAGCCUCGGUGCGCUAUGCGUCUCGUCUCAGUAACCUUUUCCCAUGCAGGACGAGCCAAGACAUCGUCCCACCAGAUUCUUUCUUUCGGUGAUCAAUCCAGCCUUGUUGAUCAUGUUCACAAGGAAAUUCACAUUGGGCAAGUGCACAAGGUCGGCCAGGGAGAAAUCAUCACCAGCUUGGCUUCAUUCUGCUCAACCACAGCCAGGUCAGUGGCCCGGCGGCCCAUCAUCGGUGCAAAUGCAAGCUGGAAGAUAAUAGCCAGGCUCGGUGGGUUAAAGCUCUGGCCUUCAGACUCGAUCCAUUGUUCAAUGGCAGCGCGGCCAACCGCGCCAUCUUCUUUGUUGCCAAAGAGGGCCUGGUUACCACUGUCUGCCUACUCAUAU